CUCGAGUUCUCAGUCUCAUGUUCCC
rnacentral:piRNA from 1 species